GGCGGAUGAGUGCUGGAUCGCGACUCAUAAUCGCUUGGUCGCUGGUUCAAACCCAGCAGGGGCCACCA
rnacentral:tRNA from 1 species